rnacentral:rRNA from 1 species
AACGUAGGACACAAGCGUUAUCCGGAGUUACUGGGCGUAAAGGGUGCGUAGGUGGUUGGGUAAGUUUGAUGUGAAAUCUCCGGGCUUAACCCGGAAAUGGCAUUGAAUACUAUUCGGCUAGAGGUUUGGAGGGGGGACUGGAAUUCUUGGUGUAGCAGUGAAAUGCGUAGAUAUCGUAAGGAAGACCAGUGGCGAAAGCGGCUUCCUGGUCCAGCACCGACGUUCAGGCACGAAAGCGUGGGGAGCAAACAGG